UUCCCCACUUCACAAACAUUAAUGUGCAUAUGAAUCACUUGGGAAUAUUAUGCAUCAGAGGUUGAAGAGGUGGCCAGGAAAAGUAUUUUGAUGGCAGACUGGAGAGCAUCAUGAGAGUCAACUUUGGGCCUGUUGACUAUCAUCUCGGCAAUAAGUGUUGGGUCCUGGCCAAAGGGCUUGGAUGCAACAUGGGGCCAAUCAAUAAAUCCAUCCCCCAUGCUUUUCCUGGCCAUUAGGUAAUCAGCAGCCUAGUUCAUGUCUUGAUGGGAAGCUCUGCCAUGUGGAAGCAUCACAUCUUAGGUUUCUUGACAACUGGAUGACUUUUGAGAACAGAUCUAGGACAGAUCUAUUCUUGGAUUGUGGACAGGCAUCAGCCUACUAACAUCAUAUGGAACAGGUGACAUCCAAAUAUGUUAAGAACUUCUGACAAUGAAGAGUAAAACACACACUCAAUUUUAAAAGGCACAGGACCUAUGAAAACAUUUUAUGGUAAAAGAAAUAACAAAUGGUCAUUUCCCACAUAAAGAGGCAUCCAACCUCAUUGGUGGUCACAGGAAAAUAAAUUACAAAAAAAAUGUUUUGUGUGACCAUCAGUUAGGAAAAUUGAACGCUUCCUACUAAUAUUUUCAUGGUAAGUAAAAACAUACUAGCCAGUCAUAGGGUCUCAUGCCUGUAAUCUCAGCACUUUGGGAAGCUGAGACAUGAGGAUCCCUUAAGCUCAGGAGUUUGAGGCUAUAAUGAGCCAUGAUCAUGCACUCCAGCCUGGGUAACAGAGAGUGAGACCCGUUUCUAACUAAAUAAAUAAAUGAGUGAAUGAACAUACAUACAUACAUAUAUACACACUGGUUUUUACAUGUUUAUAGGGAGUGUAAAUGGCCUUUUAAGGCACCAUUAACAAAUAUGUAUUGAGUUGAAAGAAACAUGUUCUUGCAUGCAGGAUUCUACCUCCUAGAAUGCAUCUGAUAACACUACUUGAAAAUGUGUGUAGAAGUGCCCAUGCUAGCAUGUUAGUAGUGGACAUAUAAAUAAUAGCAAAACAAAACAAAACAAAAGUACAUAUAUGUGAGGAAUCUUUUUGGUUAUGCUGGGUUUCUAAGAUAAUGUUCAUAGAAGCAAAUCAAAUCAAAUUAAGAGCAACUGAGCAGGAAAUGAGGGAGGAAAAUACCCUCAGAGUUAUAAGAUUAUCUCAUUACACUUAAGUUUUGAUGAUGCUUCAAGUUUCCUGGGUAAGUUAUGCAGAAGUAUCUUUCUCUGAAAAUCUUCUUGCUGCAGAAAAAACCGUGUUUAGUGUCUGUAUGUGUCUUAACUUCCCAUCUGCACCUGGGGGUUAGGAUAAAGGGCACAGUCCUUGCCUGUGUUUUGGAGUGAAAGAAGCAUUGAAGGUCUUGCAAACUUUACCAAGGAUUCUCCUGGUCUCAUUUCAGAUCCAACUUCCAAUUCCAGGCAGCCUCUGUAUUUUUUUUUUGAAUGUAUAAUCAAGAUGUACUUUGAUUUGCACUCUAUUGCUAUUUGGCCUGUACAUGCAGUUUCAAGAUAGCCCCAUACACCUGCCUGCAGUGAUCCUUCAGGAAUAGAAUGGGCUUCUAAGUUGAGGAACUUGAGAGUAUACUGAGCCCUUUGUGUAUUUUUAUUGAGUUUCUUUACUCAUGCCAGGAGAAGGCUGUGGACAAACAGUAAAGGAGGAGACACUGGAAUUGUGAUGUCCAAAGAUUCCAAUGUUCAAGGAUUAUUUCAAUCCUUCAGAUAUCUCAUUUUCUUUGUUCCUUCUGUUCCUUAUUAAAGGGUCCUGGGGUCAGAAGUUGCUGAGGCUUUCUUGGUUUCAGCAUCUGCUUCUGCCAUGGGUUUGGGGACAGGGUCCCACCACAGCAUUUCACUGGGCACCUCCUGAUGCUGGCCAUGUGUCCUAAAAUCUGGAGCAGCGAUGUCAGUGAGUCAGCAUCAAUCACAGGUGGCUUUCAGAGGUUCUUGUGAGGAUAUAUUUUUGGAUUUGAGUAUUGGUUUUUCAGGACAGGAAACAGACAAGUGGCUCAUUAGGUGUCUGGAAAUUCAUAAUGCAAAGUCAUAUCCACAACUUGUUAUAAACAGAAACACAAAGAGAAAGAACCAAAGUAUGCAAGGUUGAUGAUGAUAAUCCAGCUGAAUGGAUCAGCCUAGAUCAUGGAUGCCAAGCAGACUCUACAGAGCAUAGUGGGGCUCCCAGGGUGACUGAGGGACAAUGAGGUAGAGGGAAGGUUUCCCUCUUCAGCUGGACUUUUUGCUGCCUCAAGAAUUCAGUUGAUUGGGUUAGCUUUACAUGUGAUUUAAUCAGUCCAAUGCAGUCGCAUUUGAUCUAAUCAUCUCCCCCACUUUCAAGCUAGGAAAGCAUAUUUUAUUUGGUGUUUACUUUUUCUCUGCAUUAUUAUCUUACCACAUAUGCAUGUAUCUAAUGUAAUGAACUAUAAUUUGAUAUUUGUCAUUUCCAAGCAUUUGAGAAAUUAUAACAUCUAUGUGUACAAUUUUAACACUAUAUAUAAUUUUCUUCAUCUGCAAAGUAUAUAUACACAUGUCAAUAUGUGGUCUGUCUAAUUCUGCAUCUUGAAAUCUGGGCAGGGUCUUAAAUACUUCAAGGUGGGUAUUGGGGUACAAAUCAGAUAAGGAAAAGUUCCUUGCAUUCCUGUUCCUUUGCCCCUAGCUUUGAAUUCCUGCUUAUUAACAUGAUGACAGGGCUCUGCAAGUCUCCCCUUAUCUGUGUCUAGGUCCCCAGGGCAUUCAGGAUGGAAAAAUUUCUUACUGAGGCCAUGACGAGUGUCAGGAGUGACCCAUGCCCAGCUUAAGGGCUUAGAAAAGCAGGUUCACAAGAACAACCUGCACCUGAUUCUGGGCAUGUGCGAGAGAGUGAGCACCUUUCACUGGAGCUUCACCAUGGGAUGGGGAACUGAAGACCAGACUCCCACUGCCCCUCCAUCCAAUGCUCCAUUGACCCACCUUCUUUCCAACAGAUCUCCUUUACAGAAAGGGGCUUGGAUAAGGAGGAAAAACCAUCAGAAGAAAAGAUAAGACACCCUCUUCUCAUUCAGUAAGAGCCCCGCGCAAGGCAAGAAUCAGAGUCCGGCUCAGAAGGGGAAACUCUAGGAAGAGAGAAAUCCAUUCCAUGGACAACUGCCAAGAUAGAGCAGGUGGCAUCUUGCUUUUUUGUUCCAAAGGGCAGAUAAGCAGGUUAUUUAUACAGAGCUUGAGGAGGAAAGGGGUUUCUCAGUGGCUGUGAGGAUUUUAGAGAUCCUGACAUCCAGAAAGCAUUUGGGGUCCCAGGAGGGGUUUAGCCUCCUUUCCUUAGGGAGGCAGAGGGGGCCAGGAAGGAGGAGGAAAGACAAAUGGGGUUCACCUGAAGGUGCAUGGGGACAUUCUGAGAAUGAGCAUCCGUGGGAGCUAUUCUGGUAAGUCUCUCACUCACAUGCUUCCUCUUCAAGACACCAUCAAUCACAUGAGCCAAAACUGCAAAAGGAUUGCUUGACUUUGGAAAAGAAACACAAGGCCUCUGACACUGUACAUAUCAGUGAAAUGAGGAGACCCAUGAUGCCUGCUGUGGGGGAUCCAGAGAGGCCCACACUAGGCACAGUGAGUGGCCCGGAUCUCAGUCUCAAGAGACCUCCCACUGCCACUUCAGAAAAGCCUGGUGACCUCUCUGCACACUCCAUCUGAAGCCAGUUAUCACAACACAGCCCAGGUGUGGGAACAGUAGGCAUAUUCUCUGCUGACCUGGCAGCACCUGUCUGAGCUCAUCUGGCUCCAGGGGCCUCUGUGCUGUGGUACAAACCUGUGCCAUGGCCACCCAGGUGGCCUAUGUCUUCCCCGCUGAGGGCUGGCUCAUCACAGUCACACUGCCUGGUCCCUAGGGUGGAGAAGCUCAGAGCUCUUCCUAGGAAGAAAAUGGGCCCGCCCCUUCCCUGGACAGGAGAUAAAGGAGCCUGUUGGUAGAUCAAAUGAGGCUUUAGCUGGGGUCACCCAGACCCUAUUCAAUAGAGGACACAGCUGUGUGAGAGUGAGAAGAAAGACCUGCUACUUUUUAGGCAAUUUUAGACACACUGUGUUAAUACAUGACAAAACAGGGGGCACUCUUGGGAAAGGAGUUUGAACAAUACCCUCAAAGUAGAAACUUUCAUUUAGGUCUAAAACUACUGAUAAAUUUUGUAUUUCAUGUUAGACAUUUGAUGUUUUUGGAUGUUUUAUGACAGUCACGCAUUUCUUUGUAAUAAAAAAUAUUAGGGUAUAAUCAUUCAUAUGUGUUUGUGUAUUGCAAAGUAUAGCAAAACAAAUAUAUAUGUAGAUCCUCCCCCUAUAAGUCAGAAAAGACUAGCUCUUUACUCUCCCACCCUGAGUCAAUAAAGGACUGAUAUCUGCUAACCUUUAACAGUUUUCUCUAGGGAGAGAUGUUGGUAUUUUUUCAAUUGGAUGAACAAAUAAAAUCACCAUGCUGUUGUUUCA